rnacentral:misc_RNA from 1 species
AACUUUUAACAAUGGAUCUCUUGGCUCUCGCAUCGAUGAAGAACGCAGCGAAAUGCGAUAAGUAAUGUGAAUUGCAGAAUUCAGUGAAUCAUCGAAUCCUUGAACGCACCUUGCACCCUUUGGGAUUCCGAAGGGUACACCCGUUUUGGUGUCAUUGUACUCCCCAGCCUUAGUAUCUUUAUGUCCGAGGGGUCGUGGACUUGGAUGUUGCCGUGUCACUACUGCUCGUCUCAAAUGCAUGAGUAUGACCUGCUUAUCUGUGUUGUUCGGUGUGAUACGCAUCUUCACCGGCGGUUGGACCUGCAAGGGAGCAGCACUCGGCUGGCGAGGUCGGCUACAAAGCGUCUUCGGACAAACCAAUCGACAAUUUGACCUCAGAUCGGGUGGGACUACCCGCUGAACUUAAGCAUAUCAAUAAGCGGAGGCU